CCAGACACAGAGGAAGCAAGAUGAGAAUGCUGUACUGAGAAAAAGUUUGUGUCAAGUUGGCAAAAGCCAACCAGCAGCGAGCCUCUCUAUGCAUUCUGGGAAAGAGAGUCUGCCCAUUAGCUGAAGAAGCAGGAGAAGCUGAGAUGAAUGUCAUGGAAGGGACAGUUGAUCCACGAUGGUCCAGUGAGUGCUACAAGCCUUGGGAACAUGGAGAAGACAGGUCUCAGUCACUGGGGGACAUCCUCACUCUUCCUGCGGAAGGCAGGGUCUCUUGUAGCCCCGGUUGGCCUUGGACUGGCUAUAUAACCAAGGAUAACCUCUGACCUCUACCAUCCAAGUGCCGGGAUGACAGGCCUGCAUGGAGGAAGGGGCCUGAGGUUCUGAAGAUCGAUGCUGCUCCAAUACUCGCCCCCUGCGGCAAGCUCCCGACAUCUCUUCCACAGUAAUAAUUAGCGACAGAAAUAUCUGACCUACUUAAGACUCCACAAAUACACACA